rnacentral:snoRNA from 1 species
CCCUUCUCAGGGUCACACCUGGAGAGUUUCCAGUACUCUACCAGUCUCGGCUACGGGAGGGAGAGUCAAGCAGAGGCCUACCCAAUUCAUUCCCAGCUUGGGCAGUGGCUAGCGAGUGGAAGGCCAUCUGCUACAAGA